rnacentral:rRNA from 1 species
GUCUUUUUGAUUAUAAUUUAAAGUCUAACCUGCCCAAUGAAUUAUUCAAUGGCCGCAGUAUUUUAACUGUGCGAAGGUAGCAUAAUAAUUAGUUUUUUAAUUGAGAACUGGUAUGAAUGGUUGGACGAGAAAAUAGCUGUCUCAAUUUAAUUUGAAUUAGAAUUUUAUUUUUAAGUUAAAAAGCUUAAAUUUUUUUAAAAGACGAGAAGACCCUAUAGAGUUUAAUAUUAAAAAUCUUAUUUAUUUAUAAAGUAUUGCACAAAUUUAAAUUAAUUUUAGUAUUUUAUUGGGGUGAUAUAAAAAUUUAAAAAACUUUUUAUUUUUAAUAACAUUAAUAUAUGAUUAUUUGAUCCAUUUUUUAUGAUUAAAAGAAUAAAUUACCUUAGGGAUAACAGCGUAAUUUUUUUUUAAAGUUCUUAUUGAAAAAAAAGUUUGCGACCUCGAUGUUGGAUUAAA